AUUGAACGCUGGCGGAAUGCUUUACACAUGCAAGUCAAACGGCAGCACGGACUUCGGUCUGGUGGCGAGUGGCGAACGGGUGAGUAAUACAUCGGAACGUGCCCAAUCGUGGGGGAUAACGUAGCGAAAGCUACGCUAAUACCGCAUACGAUCUAAGGAUGAAAGCGGGGGAUCGCAAGACCUCGCGCGAUUGGAGCGGCCGAUGGCAGAUUAGGUAGUUGGUAGGGUAAAGGCCUACCAAGCCGACGAUCUGUAGCUGGUCUGAGAGGAUGAUCAGCCACACUGGGACUGAGACACGGCCCAGACUCCUACGGGAGGCAGCAGUGGGGAAUUUUGGACGAGGGACGCAAGUCUGAUCCAGCCAUUCCGCGUGCAGGAUGAAGGCCCUCGGGUUGUAAACUGCUUUUGUACAGAACGAAAAGGCUCUGGUUAAUACCUAGGGCUCAUGACGGUACUGUAAGAAUAAGCACCGGCUAACUACGUGCCAGCCGCCGCAGUAA
rnacentral:rRNA from 1 species